AUCAUGAGUGUAUCAAAAUUCUUCUUGGGAAUAAAGUCGAUAGGGAGAAUGAGAGGGCUGUAACGAGAGAAGAGGGGUUGGCUCUUGCUCAGGGACAUAAAUGUUUGUUUCUUGAAUGUAGUGCUAAAACUAAAGAGAAUGUCCACCAAUGCUUUAAAGAUCUUACAUUAAAGAUACUUGAGGUUCCGAAUUUUUUGGAAAAUGGAUCCACAGUAGUGAAGAAACAGAUUUUAGAACAGAAGCAGGUAGACCCAACUCCUCGUAGUGGUGGAUGCUCCUCCUGAUGUAAAUGAUGCAGGUACUAUACCACAACUAGAACUCGCCACAACAAAACCGAAGACCUCAAGAAGUGGUUGAAAUGGCAAUUGGACAACCUGCAUAAUCUCAGACACAUUCACCAUCAGAUGAACAAGCUUUUUUCCAAGCCAUUUUCUCAAAUAUAUAGUA